AGGACUAGAUACCCUGGUAGUCCACGCCGUAAACGAUGUCUACUAGCCGUUGGGACUCUUGAAGUCUUAGUGGCGCAGCUAACGCACUAAGUAGACCGCCUGGGGAGUACGGCCGCAAGGUUAAAACUCAAAUGAAUUGACGGGGGCCCGCACAAGCGGUGGAGCAUGUGGUUUAAUUCGACGCAACGCGAAGAACCUUACCUGGCCUUGACAUGCAGAGAACUUUCCAGAGAUGGAUUGGUG
rnacentral:rRNA from 1 species